GAACCUAAGAGACAUAGCAAAGGUCCCACAGAGUGAAUGGCAGUAGUUGUAUCAGAAUGGUAUCCAUUUCCUGAUUUUUUUUUUUCCCCUCCAGUUAGUAGUUUAAUCCCCUGGCCUUUUCUUGGAAGGGGGUUCUGUACUUCAUAAAUAUUUUUUCUUGAAUUUUAAAACUUUACAGUAAAUUUAGGACCCGAAGACACCAAAUAUAGACACUGCUUGGGGAGGAAGCCUAGUAUGAUGAGGUUAACUGUGGGCAAUUUCAUUUC
rnacentral:lncRNA from 1 species